CGGAGGUGGCGAGCGUUGCUCGGAUUCAUUGGGUGUAAAGGGUCGGUAGGCGGUUCCAUAAGUGCUUGGUAAAAUCCCGCAGCUUAACUGCGGAACGCCCAGGUAGACUGUAGAACUUGAGGGCUGGAGAGGCAGACGGAAUUCCCGGUGUAAGGGUGAAAUCUGUAGAUAUCGGGAGGAACACCAGAGGCGAAGGCGGUCUGCUGGACAGCAUCUGACGCUGAGCGACGAAAGCGUGGGGAGCAAACAGGAUUAGAUACCCUGGUAGUCCACGCUGUAAACGUUGAGGACUAGGUGUUGGCCCGUUUAGGGUCGGUGCCGCAGGUAACCCAUUAAGUCCUCCACCUGGGGAGUACGUCCGCAAGGAUG
rnacentral:rRNA from 1 species